CCAAUGGCGGGCGGACUACACAUGCAAGUCGAGCGGUAGCACAGAGAGCUUGCUCUCGGGUGACGAGCGGCGGACGGGUGAGUAAUGUCUGGGAAACUGCCUGAUGGAGGGGGAUAACUACUGGAAACGGUAGCUAAUACCGCAUAACGUCGCAAGACCAAAGUGGGGGACCUUCGGGCCUCAUGCCAUCAGAUGUGCCCAGAUGGGAUUAGCUAGUAGGUGGGGUAACGGCUCACCUAGGCGACGAUCCCUAGCUGGUCUGAGAGGAUGACCAGCCACACUGGAACUGAGACACGGUCCAGACUCCUACGGGAGGCAGCAGUGGGGAAUAUUGCACAAUGGGCGCAAGCCUGAUGCAGCCAUGCCGCGUGUGUGAAGAAGGCCUUCGGGUUGUAAAGCACUUUCAGCGGGGAGGAAGGCGGUGAGGUUAAUAACCUCAUCGAUUGACGUUACCCGCAGAAGAAGCACCGGCUAACUCCGUGCCAGCAGCCGCGGUAAUACGGAGGGUGCAAGCGUUAAUCGGAAUUACUGGGCGUAAAGCGCACGCAGGCGGUCUGUCAAGUCGGAUGUGAAAUCCCCGGGCUCAACCUGGGAACUGCAUUCGAAACUGGCAGGCUAGAGUCUUGUAGAGGGGGGUAGAAUUCCAGGUGUAGCGGUGAAAUGCGUAGAGAUCUGGAGGAAUACCGGUGGCGAAGGCGGCCCCCUGGACAAAGACUGACGCUCAGGUGCGAAAGCGUGGGGAGCAAACAGGAUUAGAUACCCUGGUAGUCCACGCCGUAAACGAUGUCGAUUUGGAGGUUGUGCCCUUGAGGCGUGGCUUCCGGAGCUAACGCGUUAAAUCGACCGCCUGGGGAGUACGGCCGCAAGGUUAAAACUCAAAUGAAUUGACGGGGGCCCGCACAAGCGGUGGAGCAUGUGGUUUAAUUCGAUGCAACGCGAAGAACCUUACCUGGUCUUGACAUCCACAGAACUUUCCAGAGAUGGAUUGGUGCCUUCGGGAACUGUGAGACAGGUGCUGCAUGGCUGUCGUCAGCUCGUGUUGUGAAAUGUUGGGUUAAGUCCCGCAACGAGCGCAACCCUUAUCCUUUGUUGCCAGCGGUCCGGCCGGGAACUCAAAGGAGACUGCCAGUGAUAAACUGGAGGAAGGUGGGGAUGACGUCAAGUCAUCAUGGCCCUUACGACCAGGGCUACACACGUGCUACAAUGGCAUAUACAAAGAGAAGCGACCUCGCGAGAGCAAGCGGACCUCAUAAAGUAUGUCGUAGUCCGGAUUGGAGUCUGCAACUCGACUCCAUGAAGUCGGAAUCGCUAGUAAUCGUAGAUCAGAAUGCUACGGUGAAUACGUUCCCGGGCCUUGUACACACCGCCCGUCACACCAUGGGAGUGGGUUGCAAAAGAAGUAGGUAGCUUAACCUUCGGGAGGGCGCUACCACUUGGAUCAGUUGGU
rnacentral:rRNA from 1 species